rnacentral:rRNA from 1 species
GAUGAACGCUGGUGGCGUGCCUAAUACAUGCAAGUAGAACGCUGAAGCUUGGUGCUUGCACCGAGCGGAUGAGUUGCGAACGGGUGAGUAACGCGUAGGUAACCUGCCUGGUAGCGGGGGAUAACUAUUGGAAACGAUAGCUAAUACCGCAUAACAGUAGAUAUUGCAUGAUAUCUGCUUGAAAGGGGCAAUUGCUCCACUACCAGAUGGACCUGCGUUGUAUUAGCUAGUUGGUGAGGUAACGGCUCACCAAGGCGACGAUACAUAGCCGACCUGAGAGGGUGAUCGGCCACACUGGGACUGAGACACGGCCCAGACUCCUACGGGAGGCAGCAGUAGGGAAUCUUCGGCAAUGGACGGAAGUCUGACCGAGCAACGCCGCGUGAGUGAAGAAGGUUUUCGGAUCGUAAAGCUCUGUUGUAAGAGAAGAACGAGUGUGAGAGUGGAAAGUUCACACUGUGACGGUAACUACCAGAAAGGAC